GUGAGGAAUUUUCCGCAAUGGGCGAAAGCCUGACGGAGCAAGGCCGCGUGAAGGAUGAAGGCCUAUGGGUUGUAAACUUCUUUUCUCAGAAAAGAAUUAUGACGGUAUCUGAGGAAUAAGCAUCGGCUAACUCUGUGCCAGCAGCCGCGGUAAGACAGAGGAUGCAAGCGUUAUCCGGCAUGAUUGGGCGUAAAGCGUCUGUAGGUUGUUUAAAAAGUAUUCUGUCAAAGAUUAGGGCUUAACCCUAGAUAGGCAGAAUAAACUUUUAAGCUAGAGUUUGGGAGAGGCAGAGGGAAUUCCCGGGGGAGCGGUGAAAUGCGUCGAGAUCGGGAGGAACACCAAAGGCGAAGGCACUCUGCUGGGCCAAUACUAACACUGAGAGACGAAAGCGAGGGGAGCAAAUGGGAUUAGAAACCCCAGUAGUCC
rnacentral:rRNA from 1 species